CCUACGGGAGGCAGCAGUGGGGAAUAUUGCACAAUGGGGGAAACCCUGAUGCAGCGACGCCGCGUGAGUGAAGAAGUAAUUCGGUAUGUAAAGCUCUAUCAGCAGGGAAGAAAAUGACGGUACCUGACUAAGAAGCCCCGGCUAACUACGUGCCAGCAGCCGCGGUAAUACGUAGGGGGCAAGCGUUAUCCGGAUUUACUGGGUGUAAAGGGAGCGUAGACGGCAUGGCAAGUCAGGAGUGAAAGGCCGGGGCUCAACCCCCGGACUGCUCUUGAAACUGUACGGCUGGAGUGCAGGAGAGGUAAGUGGAAUUCCUAGUGUAGCGGUGAAAUGCGUAGAUAUUAGGAGGAACACCAGUGGCGAAGGCGGCUUACUGGACUGUAACUGACGUUGAGGCUCGAAAGCGUGGGGAGCAAACAGGAUUAGAUACCCUAGUAGUC
rnacentral:rRNA from 1 species